GGUUCUAUAGUGUAGCGGUUAUCACUCCGGAUUCUGAUUCCUCUGAGAAACAUUCCGGCAACCCCGGUUCGAUUCCGGGUAGGACCU